rnacentral:rRNA from 1 species
UGCUCUUCUUGGAUGAGUUGCGAACGGGUGAGUAACGCGUAGGUAACCUGCCUUGUAGCGGGGGAUAACUAUUGGAAACGAUAGCUAAUACCGCAUAACAAUGGAUGACACAUGUCAUUUAUUUGAAAGGGGCAAAUGCUCCACUACAAGAUGGACCUGCGUUGUAUUAGCUAGUAGGUGAGGUAACGGCUCACCUAGGCGACGAUACAUAGCCGACCUGAGAGGGUGAUCGGCCACACUGGGACUGAGACACGGCCCAGACUCCUACGGGAGGCAGCAGUAGGGAAUCUUCGGCAAUGGGGGCAACCCUGACCGAGCAACGCCGCGUGAGUGAAGAAGGUUUUCGGAUCGUAAAGCUCUGUUGUAAGUCAAGAACGAGUGUGAGAGUGGAAAGUUCACACUGUGACGGUAGCUUACCAGAAAGGGACGGCUAACUACGUGCCAGCAGCCGCGGUAAUACGUAGGUCCCGAGCGUUGUCCGGAUUUAUUGGGCGUAAAGCGAGCGCAGGCGGUUUGAUAAGUCUGAAGUUAAAGGCUGUGGCUCAACCAUAGUUCGCUUUGGAAACUGUCAAACUUGAGUGCAGAAGGGGAGAGUGGAAUUCCAUGUGUAGCGGUGAAAUGCGUAGAUAUAUGGAGGAACACCUGUGGCGAAAGCGGCUCUCUGGUCUGUAACUGACGCUGAGGCUCGAAAGCGUGGGGAGCGAACAGGAUUAGAUACCCUGGUAGUCCACGCCGUAAACGAUGAGUGCUAGGUGUUGGAUCCUUUCCGGGAUUCAGUGCCGCAGCUAACGCAUUAA